rnacentral:rRNA from 1 species
GGGGGACUUCGGACCUCGCGCUCAAGGGGCGGCCGAUGGCAGAUUAGCUAGUUGGUGGGGUAAAGGCCUACCAAGGCGACGAUCUGUAGCUGGUCUGAGAGGACGACCAGCCACACUGGGACUGAGACACGGCCCAGACUCCUACGGGAGGCAGCAGUGGGGAAUUUUGGACAAUGGGGGCAACCCUGAUCCAGCAAUGCCGCGUGUGUGAAGAAGGCCUUCGGGUUGUAAAGCACUUUUGUCCGGAAAGAAAACCUCCGUCCUAAUACGGUGGGGGGAUGACGGUACCGGAAGAAUAAGCACCGGCUAACUACGUGCCAGCAGCCGCGGUAAUACGUAGGGUGCGAGCGUUAAUCGGAAUUACUGGGCGUAAAGCGUGCGCAGGCGGUUCGCUAAGACCGAUGUGAAAUCCCCGGGCUUAACCUGGGAACUGCAUUGGUGACUGG